rnacentral:rRNA from 1 species
CCUACGGGAGGCAGCAGUGAGGAAUAUUGGUCAAUGGGCGCAAGCCUGAACCAGCCAUGCCGCGUGCAGGAUGAAGCAUCUAUGGGUGUGUAAACUGCUUUUGUACGGGAAGAAACCCUGCCACGUGUGGCAGAUUGACGGUACCGUAAGAAUAAGGAUCGGCUAACUCCGUGCCAGCAGCCGCGGUAAUACGGAGGAUCCAAGCGUUAUCCGGAAUCAUUGGGUUUAAAGGGUCCGUAGGCGGUUUUAUAAGUCAGUGGUGAAAUCCGGCAGCUCAACUGUCGAACUGCCAUUGAUACUGUAGGACUUGAAUUAUUGUGAAGUAACUAGAAUAUGUAGUGUAGCGGUGAAAUGCUUAGAUAUUACAUGGAAUACCCAUUGCGAAGGCAGGUUACUAACAAUAUAUUGACGCUGAUGGACGAAAGCGUGGGGAGCGAACAGGAUUAGAUACCCUGGUAGUCCACGCCGUAAACGAUGGAUACUAGCUGUUUGGUUGUAAGACUGAGUGNGAGAGAAGAGAGUAAGUAUACCACCGUCGGGGUAGGGUACGGGGUUCGGCGAGACCGUUCGAACGUUACGAAUUAGAAGUUAGUUACGGCGUUGAGACGUUGCCGACGGACGACGACGAGGGGAGGUAGGAG